ACCUACGGGGCGCAGCAGUGGGGAAUAUUGCGCAAUGGGGGAAACCCUGACGCAGCAACGCCGCGUGAGUGAAGACGUAUCUCGGUAUGUAAAGCUCUAUCAGCGGGGAAGAAGGAAGACGGUACCCGACUAAGAAGCCCCGGCUAACUACGUGCCAGCAGCCGCGGUAAUACGUAGGGGGCGAGCGUUAUCCGGAUUUACUGGGGGUAAAGGGAGCGUAGACGGCGUCGCAAGUCUGAAGUGAAAGCCCGUGGCUCAACCGCGGCACCGCUUUGGAAACUGCGGGGCUGGAGUGCUGGAGGGGG
rnacentral:rRNA from 1 species